UUUAUUAUCAUCCUGAGAUUGUCAUUUCUCAAAAGUCAGUUCAACUGGAGCAGGGAGGCGAGACUGAGAAUAGUGUUUAUGAUACUUGGCCAUUCACAUUUGGCAAGCUUAGCUCGAUGGCGGACGGUAUUGAGGAGCUUGCGGACUACGAAAGUCUGUUAGGUUUCCGAAACUCAUGGCAGCAGACUACAGCGAACUCCAUCGAACAAAUAGGAAGCUCAGAAGCUGUUGAAAAUUGAAAAGUUGGGGGAGUAAUUAUGGUUG